UACAGAGGGGGCAAGCGUUGUUCGGAAUUACUGGGCGUAAAGGGCGCGUAGGCGGCCCGCUAAGUCGAACGUGAAAUCCCCGAGCUCAACUCGGGAACUGCGACCGAUACUGGCGGGCUUGAAUCCGGGAGAGGGAUGCGGAAUUCCAGGUGUAGCGGUGAAAUGCGUAGAUAUCUGGAGGAACACCGGUGGCGAAGGCGGCAUCCUGGACCGGCAUUGACGCUGAGGCGCGAAAGCUAGGGGAGCAAACGGG
rnacentral:rRNA from 1 species